GAAAUGCGAUAAGUAAUGUGAAUUGCAGAAUUCAGUGAAUCAUCGAAUCUUUGAACGCACAUUGCGCCCCCUGGCAUUCCGGGGGGCAUGCCUGUUCGAGCGUCAUUACACCACUCAAGCCUGGCUUGGUAUUGAGCGCCGCGGCCUGCCCGCGCGCUCCAAUGUCUCCGGCUGAGCCGUCCGUCUCUAAGCGUUGUGAAUAGCGAUCGCUUGCGAGGCCCGAGCGGUUCGACGCCGUUAAACCCCCCAUUUUCUAUGGUUGACCUCGGAUCAGGUAGGGAUACCCGCUGAACUUAAGC
rnacentral:misc_RNA from 1 species